rnacentral:rRNA from 1 species
AUUGAACGCUGGCGGCAUGCCUUACACAUGCAAGUCGAACGGCAGCGCGGGCUUCGGCCUGGCGGCGAGUGGCGAACGGGUGAGUAAUACAUCGGAACGUGCCCAGUAGUGGGGGAUAGCUCGGCGAAAGCCGGAUUAAUACCGCAUACGACCUGAGGGUGAAAGCGGGGGAUCUUCGGACCUCGCGCUAUUGGAGCGGCCGAUGGCAGAUUAGCUAGUUGGUGGGGUAAAGGCCUACCAAGGCGACGAUCUGUAGCUGGUCUGAGAGGACGACCAGCCACACUGGGACUGAGACACGGCCCAGACUCCUACGGGAGGCAGCAGUGGGGAAUUUUGGACAAUGGGCGAAAGCCUGAUCCAGCAAUGCCGCGUGUGUGAUGAAGGCCUUCGGGUUGUAAAGCACUUUUGGCGGGAACGAAAAGGACUGUGCCAAUACCACGGUUCGAUGACGGUACCCGCAGAAUAAGCACCGGCUAACUACGUG